AAAAUAGAUAGAUGAGAUUCAGAAUAUUAAUAAGAAUUUGUCAAGACCGGAGUCUUGAAGUGGAGAAAUAAAUUAUAAAGUUGAGUGGAGGUGAUGACAGGCAUUUAUGAAGGA